rnacentral:rRNA from 1 species
UACGGAGGGUGCAAGCGUUGUUCGGAUUCAUUGGGCGUAAAGGGUGCGUAGGCGGCGCGGUAAGUCGGGUGUGAAAUCUCGGGGCUUAACUCCGAAACUGCAUUCGAUACUGCCGUGCUUGAGGACUGGAGAGGAGACUGGAAUUUACGGUGUAGCGGUGAAAUGCGUAGAUAUCGUAAGGAAGACCAGUGGCGAAGGCGGGUCUCUGGACAGUUCCUGACGCUGAGGCACGAAGGCCAGGGGAGCAAACGGG